rnacentral:tRNA from 1 species
GCGGAUGGUGAGCCGGGUACCGGCGAACGACCUUGCCAAGGUUGAUGUCGUGAGUUCGAAUCUCAUCGCCCGCUCCA